CAAAGACCCAAUUCUCUCACUUCACUCUCAUCUCCCUCACCCUUCAUCAAACCCUAGCCGCCAAAAUCCCUCACCGGCGGCCAAGCUCCAAACGACUCCAAUUCUGCACCCCAUAAUCCCCGGCCCUUCCUUUCUCCAAAUCCAUCAACCAAUCCUCAAAAAAACCUGUAGAGUUUCACAAAUAGCGGAUCUAAGAACCUUGGAAAGUUGAAGUUUCUUUUUCUUGGUAAAAUCGGCCAUGUACGGUUGAAACCUGCAACGACGGAUAGCUCUUGACAAGAGCUAUAAAUUGAUGUAAGAAUUAAUCCGUUUCUCAACGGUUCGUAUUUUGGUCGAUUGAUUUUGACUGGUCAAGUUCUUUUGAGGAUUCUCCUUGCCGCCUCGUCUCCAGUCCAAUAGAUUGGGCAUGGUGUUGUUGAAGUGUAAGCAGUCUGUUUUGGUUUAAUUCUCGCCUCUACUUAGCAUUCUAUACUUGAACGGAAAAGGGUAGUUGAACAGGAUUAAAGUCAGUACAUCAUUGAAGGAUAUAGAGAAGUAAAAGGAAGAACAGGAGCUGAGAUUUGUUUAUUCGUGUAAAUGGCUGUAUUUGUAAUAAAUAAUUUCGAGCCAUAAGAUGAUUUAGAUCUGUUAAAUUCAAUUUCAAUUUGGUGCUGUAUCUAGAUUCAAUUUAUUGUAGUUAAACUUCAAUUCUUAAACCCAAUUCAUGAAGAGUGUUCAUUUUUA